rnacentral:rRNA from 1 species
CCUACGGGUUGCAGCAGUGGGGAAUAUUGCACAAUGGGCGCAAGCCUGAUGCAGCCAUGCCGCGUGUAUGAAGAAGGCCUUCGGGUUGUAAGGUACUUUCAGCGGGGAGGAAGGCGAUAAGGUUAAUAACCUUGUCGAUUGACGUUACCCGCAGAAGAAGCACCGGCUAACUCCGUGCCAGCAGCCGCGGUAAUACGGAGGGUGCAAGCGUUAAUCGGAAUUACAGGGCGUAAAGCGCACGCAGGCGGUCUGUCAAGUCGGAUGUGAAAUCCCCGGGCUCAACCUGGGAACUGCAUUCGAAACUGGCAGGCUGGAGUCUUGUAGAGGGGGGUAGAAUUCCAGGUGUAGCGGUGAAAUGCGUAGAGAUCUGGAGGAAUACCGGUGGCGAAGGCGACCCCCUGGACAAAGACUGACGCUCAGGUGCGAAAGCGUGGGGGGCAAACAGGAUUAGAUACCCUAGUAGUC